rfam:Streptomyces paucisporeus strain CGMCC 4.2025 genome assembly, contig: Ga0079900_172
GAGAGCCCGUUGCGUUGAGAGGCGCACGGCGGGUUCGGCGAGAAGUCCGGGAAAACGGACCGGGAGUAAUCCCGGCACCGCGCCCCGGGCUUACUCAGC